ACAUCUAGCUAGCUAGGUUACCACGCCAAAAACCCAAUCUUUUUUCAGAACCUAAAUAGUUGACUUAUAUUUUAUUUAACACUAUUUCAAAUACAGCCUCUCAAACACUUGAUUAGGAAUAGGAUUCAAAAGCUUCACAAUUUCCUUCUUCUUAUCCGGAUUCUUAACAGCAUCAUUCUUAAGCACUGCAAGAAUCUCAUCAGCCGCGCCGCUAACAAUGCUGAGAGGCUGCCGGCCAAGAUGCUGUUGAAUGACACUCAGCAUGCCUCAUAGGCAGCCCUAGUCUCUUUGCUCUUGGGCUGAUACACGCCUUCCUCAGUGGCAGUGAAGACACUCUCUUCCAGGAGGCGCCGGCGCUUGUCCUGUCGAGACAGGGGCUCGGUCAAAGGGUCACGCUCCUAGUCAUCACUGCAUUCUUUUCCCAUUUCUCUGCUUCAAGAACCCUAGUCAUCACCUCAGGGAAGAUGAUAAAUGCUGUCUUUUUCCGGUCAUCCUUUUUCUGUUCAAGUCGAUACAAGCUCGCUUUGUCAAUUGGCACAUAGCAAAUAGAGAAAUCCACGAUUUUUCUCUCUUUUGUCCGGAUUCAGAUGCUUUUUGGGCUCAUGAACCUGGUUUAUGAUAGCAAAUAGGAGGAAAGAAGUAUUAGAAUGUGAACAUGGAUGUUAAGCUUUUUGACAAACCCAUUGCUUAGAAGGAGGCUUUGUUUCGUCGUGGUUUUGAGUCAUGCUGUGUAAAUACAUUUAGAGAUAUGUAUAGGAGAAUCAAUCAAGUACAAAUCUGUAGCUUUGCUUCAUUGUAAAAAAUGAUGAGAGUACAGCUUCAAUGGAUAAUGCCAACAAAGUCUUUAAUUGUAAUUAACUUUUUUAUGACUUUAUUAUGUGUUUAUAAUUUCAAUGUGUUUAUCUGACCA